AUUCCCUAGGCAGGUGCAAGUCCUGUUGGCUUCGUCCUUAACAGAGCUCCACCCAAAGGGUAAAGCAGACCAAGAGCACAUCAGCAGAUCCCAUAACCCUCUUCAAUUAGGCAUACUUGUAUAUAUGUAUAUAUCCAUGCCAUGCCAACUUGGAUGUGUUUGCCAGUUAUUUGAUUCGGUGUGGGGAGGACUUCAUCCCGUGUCAGUACUCACGGUCUUAAAUGGGAGCACUUUACCCUACUUAUUUGUUUUUUAACUUCUGAAGGAAUGACUGAAAACUCAUCCAAAGGUAAUAACCACAGUCAAAUUCUCAGUCUUCUUUGUCCUCUUGAUGUAAUCUGCCAUUGGUCUGUGUAUUAUCUGUCUUGUAAAAAUGAAAGCUCUCUCAAGAAUGGGUGUUUAAAACAUAAAGAAGAAAUCUAAGUGUUUCUGCUUCAGGAAAUGUACCUGGAGUCAGGCUGGGCAUUGGCUCCCAUCUCAGUCAGAGAGGAGACCCACGAGGUGUCUGCAUCCCUUCUGCUGGGAAUUGGCACUGGUGGUAAAUCAUGAGACAAUGGGUCACUUCUCAUUUGACAAAAGUCCCAGUGUCCAGAAGAAAUUCCACUUUAUUUUGAAGAUUUUUCCCUACGUUUCAAUUGAAAUCCAAACUUUCUAUUGCUUUUCAUGCGCCCUUGCACUGCAGGUGUGGCUCUGUCUUGGAGGUAGAUGCAAUGUGUUGGCUUUUUCUAGGUAAUUGUAGAGUGGUUGGGUUGGAAGGGAUCUUAAAGAUCACCCAGCCCCACUCCCUGCACCUGCAGGGAUGGGGCAUCCCCAGCAUCAAUGGGCAUCCUGUGCCAGUGCGAGCUUCCAUUUUGAAAUUGAAUUAUUUUUUAUAAAUGCAUUAUUAUUUGUGCACAGUUGUUAUUAGCUCUGUACAACCAAACAGGCACAACUGAUGAAAUCCCAGUACCUCUGCCCAGCAGUUAUGUGGAUAAACAUCAGAGGUGCAGUGUCACUGUGUUUUCAAAGCCCCGGUGAAGGCAUGGCUGGCACGACAGGCGGAUCCACUUACAGCUUGUCUUAUCACUAUGGGGAGGUUCAACCCAAGUGUUUGAUGCUCAGCAAUGUUUUGUGGAGUUUCCCCAUCUGUGGGUUUGUUCCUGCUCGUGCUCUGUGGUCGUCUGGGUAGGUUUGCUUGGGAAGUGGUAACACAGAUAAUGGGGAGAUGUUUGUAUGAAUGCGGAUAAAAGGCGUCGUGCUAUUUCUGCACCACCUGACCUGCCUCCUCCUCCACGGCUCCUUUUGAUGUUUGCUUUCACGGCGAUUUCUUACAAUGUGAAAUUCAUCCUCAUUUUAAUGGUUUGGGGAUGGUGUGGUUUUUCAGAUGAACAGAACAAGGAUGUAGAGCUCUGAAAGAUUCCUCUGCUCUUUAUCAGCUAUUUCUUUCAAGUACAAAAUGCUUUUUCUUUUCCUUUUUGUUCUGUAAAGGUGGAUUCUUCCCCUGUGCUGUUUACUAAUUAAAAGUUAGUUGGUAAAGAAUAAGCAUAUUGUUCCUGCUACGGUUUGAUCUAUUGUUAUUAGGGCCCUGUGUUGUUACAGAUGAGAUCAAAGAAUUUAAUUUAUGAUGGGUGGAUAGGUCAAGUUCAGUCGUCUGAAGCGAGCGCGGGGUGGAAAGCACAGCUAGGCAGCAGCAGCCCAGGCAAUGAGCUUUUCCUUGUAAAUAAUACAGCCCCACUUUCUCCACUUUUGACUCAAGAAGCUCAGCAGCCCUUUGGGCAUGAACGUCGGAGGACAGAUGGAUGGAGUCUAUGAAGCCCCUUCCGCCUUCCCUUGGGUCAGUACCCACGGGAGAUAAUGUAGUAGCGGAGGAAUCUGAGGCUUGAGAUAAAGUAGAAACCCAAGGACCCCAGCUGUGUUUCAGCCAACCUGAUUCACAGUUCUGCAUCAUGUUUGCAUGUGUGCUGCAAGUUCCUAUGGUAUUUUAACGUGGUUUUGAAAUAUCCCUUGAGCUUGCAGCAAGAACCUCUAAUUAAGACUUAGAGUUGAUGCUGUUAAGUCUUAGUCACACCCUAAUAACAAAAGGGGAACGGGGCAGUGGAACAAAUUUAUUGGGUCUGCUUAUAGUCUCUAGCUGCAAUAUUUUCCUUGAACUCUGCUCAAAGAGGAAUGGGUUGGAUUAUUUCCAUUUCAUCUUUAUUUAUUGCACACCAGCGUGGAGCACUGUUAUGAAACUAAGAAAGACACCCACCUCUCCCCUCUGCCUAUGGAAACCAUGAGGACUGGCUUGACGUGCAAGAUGAGUAACCUGGGAGCAGUUCCUCGGCUCUAUUAUUAGUGUGUGUCUAUGAAUGCGUGGCUAAUACAGCUGCAUACGUGGUUUCUGCUUUCCUUGUAGUCUGACCAAGAGGAGCCUGGAAGCUGGUUUGGGUGGGAACCACAUCUCUUCGUGUUUGGGGAACACUUAGCACAGCACAGACUGGCUGGAGGGCAAGGGAGCUUGGAAUCAGGCUCUCAGCUCCAUCCCUGGGCUUUGCCUCACUGUGUGUCUGUGUAUGGUUCUUGGUCCCAGCAUUGAAGUGAAGGGGUUCCUCGGAUAGGUUGACAGUGCAGUGACGCAGCAUUGGUGUGACCCAGGGAGGCACCAGGAAGGAGGGAGAUGCUCAUAGAGGAAAAAACCUUGUGCCUGACAUGGUCCCAAACCAACUGGAAACCCUGUGCUGCUCAGGAACAGAUUCAUCUGGCUGUCACGGGAUUGGCAGCAGUAUUUCAGCUGCAGUGGCGCUUACAAUAUUUUCAGUUCCUAGUAAUAUCACCAGUUCCUCAUUCUGCUUUUUUUGGUGAUUCUGCCCGGUCAGAGUGCUAAAGGGAUGGGGAACAGCCUCAUUUUGGCUGCAGUGUCCAGUUCAUGCUUGUGAUUUUCAUCAUCUCUUUGCUUUUGGUUUCUUCAACAUCACCACACUCUGAACUCUGAAUUUGGGUCUUUUUGCUUGCUUAGCUGUGUUCUGGUGUAUUCCCUGGUUUCUUUCUCUAUUUUUCAUCAUGUCCUUAGGACUGCUUUCCUCUCCUUGUCAUAGAAUCAUCAAGGUUGGAGAAGCCCUCUAAGAUCACCUAGUCCAACCAACCUUUAACAUGUCUCAGUUGCCACUCUGUCUGCCAUUCAGCUUGGAAUCUCUAAAAGGGGAGCUGAUGGGUGCUAUCAUGUCUAUCUCUCUGUCUUCAUUGCAUUCACCAUGCCUUCAUUUUCUGGAAUAAAAGUUUCAGCUUUUACUUCUCCUGACUUUACAAUAUAUCAGCUUGGAAAUCAAUCUUCCCUUUCAGUUUACUUAAUAGUGCUGUCUAAAGUCAUCAACUAGAAAGCAUUCAGUGGCGAUUACAAGAAAUCUUUUCAAAACCUACUCCCUGCUAUGGCAAGGGAGAGACAAAGAAAAUCUUUUAUAACAUAUUUUUUCUGUCUUAGAAAAAUAAUAGCAGCCCCUUGAGAGGCAUUAGUAACUGUUGAGAACCAAUUUUUAGAUGUAAUAAUUUAUCUUCUUGUUUAUAGAAACUACAAUUAAAUAUUUUUAAAUCUCCAGCAAAUUAUAAUUAGGGAUCUGUGGCCAAAUUUAGAGGGGGAGGAAAAUAAAUU
rnacentral:lncRNA from 7 species